rnacentral:rRNA from 1 species
AGAGUUUGAUCCUGGCUCAGGACGAACGCUGGCGGCGUGCCUAACACAUGCAAGUCGAACGGAGAAUUUCAAUAAGUUUACUUAGAGAAAUUUUUAGUGGCGGACGAGUAACGCGUGGGUAACCUACCCAUAAACCCGGGACAACCCUUGGAAACGAGGGCUAAUACCGGAUAAUCUUUAAGAGUGGCAUCACUUUUUAAGAAAAGGUGGCCUCUGAAAAUGCUACCGAUUAUGGAUGGACCCGCGUCUGAUUAGCUAGUUGGUGGGGUAAAGGCCUACCAAGGCGACGAUCAGUAGCCGGCCUGAGAGGGUGAACGGCCACACUGGGACUGAGACACGGCCCAGACUCCUACGGGAGGCAGCAGUGGGGAAUAUUGCACAAUGGGCGCAAGCCUGAUGCAGCAACGCCGCGUGAGUGAUGAAGGCCUUCGGGUCGUAAAACUCUGUCCUUAGGGAAGAACAAGGUGACGGUACCCAAGGAGGAAGCCCCGGCUAACUACGUGCCAGCAGCCGCGGUAAUACGUAGGGGGCGAGCGUUGUCCGGAAUUACUGGGCGUAAAGGGCGAGUAGGCGGUUUUACAAGUCAGAUGUGAAAUACCAGGGCUUAACCCUGGAGCUGCAUUUGAAACUGUAAGACUUGAGUGCAGGAGAGGAAAGUGGAAUCCCCAGUGUAGCGGUGAAAUGCGUAGAUAUUGGGGGGAACACCAGUGGCGAAGGCGACUUUCUGGACUGUAACUGACGCUGAGGCGCGAAAGCGUGGGGAGCAAACAGGAUUAGAUACCCUGGUAGUCCACGCCGUAAACGAUGAGUGCUAGGUGUAGAGGGUAUCGACCCCUUCUGUGCCGCAGCUAACGCAAUAAGUAUCCCGCCUGGGGAGUACGGCCGCAAGGCUGAAACUCAAAGGAAUUGACGGGGGCCCGCACAAGCAGCGGAGCAUGUGGUUUAAUUCGACGCAACGCGAAGAACCUUACCAAGGCUUGACAUCCCGUGACCGCCAUGGAAACAUGGUUUCCCUUCGGGGCAAGGAGACAGGUGGUGCAUGGUUGUCGUCAGCUCGUGUCGUGAGAUGUUGGGUUAAGUCCCGCAACGAGCGCAACCCUUGUUGUUAGUUGCCAUCAUUCAGUUGGGCACUCUAGAGAGACUGCCGGUGAUAAACCGGAGGAAGGUGGGGAUGACGUCAAAUCAUCAUGCCCCUUAUGUUCUGGGCUACACACGUGCUACAAUGGCCGGUACAGACGGAAGCGAAACUGCGAAGUUAAGCGAACCCCUUAAAACAGGUCCCAGUUCGGAUUGCAGGCUGCAACUCGCCUGCAUGAAGUCGGAAUCGCUAGUAAUCGCAGGUCAGCAUACUGCGGUGAAUACGUUCCCGGGCCUUGUACACACCGCCCGUCACACCACGAAAGUCUGCAACACCCGAAGCCGGUGAGGUAACCCGUAAGGGAGCUAGCCGUCGAAGGUGGGGCCGAUAAUUGGGGUGAAGUCGUAACAAGGUAACC